rnacentral:rRNA from 1 species
GAUGAACGCUGGCGGCGUGCCUAAUACAUGCAAGUCGAGCGAACAGACGAGGAGCUUGCUCCUCUGACGUUAGCGGCGGACGGGUGAGUAACACGUGGAUAACCUACCUAUAAGACUGGGAUAACUUCGGGAAACCGGAGCUAAUACCGGAUAAUAUAUUGAACCGCAUGGUUCAAUAGUGAAAGACGGUUUUGCUGUCACUUAUAGAUGGAUCCGCGCCGCAUUAGCUAGUUGGUAAGGUAACGGCUUACCAAGGCAACGAUGCGUAGCCGACCUGAGAGGGUGAUCGGCCACACUGGAACUGAGACACGGUCCAGACUCCUACGGGAGGCAGCAGUAGGGAAUCUGCCGCAAUGGGCGAAAGCCUGACGGAGCAACGCCGCGUGAGUGAUGAAGGUCUUCGGAUCGUAAAACUCUGUUAUUAGGGAAGAACAAAUGUGUAAGUAACUAUGCACGUCUGGACGGUACCUAAUCAGAAAGCCACGGCGAACUACGU